rnacentral:lncRNA from 1 species
UGUAGUACGGAUAGGUACUUCAUUUUUACUCUAACAUUCUCAAAACAUCUGACUUGAUUUUAUCCUACCCUUGGACACUUUGCACCGAGUCGGCGCAUUUAUCACACUGAUCACGCUGCCAUCAAAUAUUUAAUGCAAAAUAAAGAUGCUAAACCUCGACUCAUACGAUGGAUUCUACUACUCCAAGAGUUUGACAUUGAGAUUAAGGAUAAGAGAGGAGUAGAUAAUGGAGUCGCUGACCAUCUUUCUAGGAUAAGGAUAGAGGAUGAUAUCCCUAUAGACGAUUUCUUUCCCACAGAGAAUGUUGCACACAUAGAUACAUCCUUCGUCUGUCAAGUAUCUCUCACAUCUGAAGAUCAAUCGAUCGAUGAGGGAGAUGUCAUAUCGGUCGAUUCACGUAGUUCUACAUCGAUCGAUGACGAGACUGAUGUAAUUUCUCAUCUCUCAGAUAACCAAAAUCACGAACCUCCGUUUAUUAAGAUCAACUUCGGUUUACAAGUAAAUGUUUCCGGUGAUGAGAUUAAUCUCACACCUGAGGAAUUAUCACAACGGGAGGUAAAUGCGAUUGGUAGAAACUUGGAUAACCGACCCUGGUAUGCCGACAUAGUUAACUAUUUGGCAGCUGAGGUCGAACCAGAUGAACUCAAGGGAUAUAUGAGGAAGAAAUUUUUCAGAGAAGUAAGACGCUAUCAUUGGGAUGAACCUUACCUCUAUAAGCAUUGUUCUGAUGGCAUAUACAGACGAUGCGUAUCCGAAGCUGAAAUUCCAGACAUUAUUUACCAAUGUCACGGAGCUGAAUAUGCAGGACAUUUCACUACCUUUAAAACGGUUUCAAAAAUUCUCCAAGCAGGAUUUUGGUGGCCAACCAUUUUUCGCGAUGUCCAUGCAUUUAUAACCCAAUGUGACAGAUGCCAAAGACGUGGAAAAAAUCGGCAAAAGACGCGAAAUGAAACAAAAGUUCAUUCUUGAAGUUGAAGUCUUUGAUUGCUGGGGUAUCGAUUUUAUGGGACCUUUCCCGUCUUCAUAUGGAAACAAAUAUAUACUAGUCGCUGUAGACUACAUAUCCAAAUGGGUCGAAGCAAUAGCUUCCCUACCAAUGACGCAUCUGUGGUUAUUAAUCUCUUCAAGAGUAUAAUCUUUCCAAGAUUUGGAGUUCCAAGAGUAGUCAUUAGUGACGGUGGAACUCAUUUCAUUAACAAAAUCUUUGAUAGAUUGCUUAAAAAGAAUGGUGUUCAUCAUAGAGUAGGUACACCUUACCAUCCACAAACUAGUGGACAAGUAGAAGUCUCUAACCGAAAAAUUAAGGAAAUCUUAGAGAAAUCCAUAGGAAUCUCCAGAAAAGAUUGGUCUAGGAAACUAGAUAAUGCACUUUGGGCCUACAGGACCGCCUACAAAACGCCGUUAGGAACAACACCAUUCCACCUCCUUUAUGGCAAAUCAUGUCAUCUACCAGUCGAACUGGAACAUAAAGCAGCUUGGGCUACCAAACUUUUGAACUUUGAUAUCAAAACGGCUGCAGAAAGGAGACUCAUCCAGCUUCACGAGCUUGAUGAAAUCAGACGUUUAGCUUUCGAAAAUUCAAAAAUCUAUAAAGAAAGGACUAAAGCCUAUCACGAUAAAAAGAUCAUAUCCCGGCACUUCGAGCCAGAUGAUCAAGUCCUCCUUUAUAACUCUCGAUUGACUUUAUUUCCUGGAAAGCUAAAAUCCCAUUGGUCUGGACCCUUCACCGUAACGAACGUUCAACCCUCCGGAGCUAUCACCUUACAAAAUGAGAAAGGCCAGGAAUUUACGGUGAAUGGCCAACGAGUUAAGCAUUAUUGGGCAAAACCACCAGCGAAAGUGCCCAUGGUGCUGUAUGAACCUGAUAAUUAGUUUAAUCAGAAAGUCGAGCUAAAGACUUAAAAAAAUUAAGCGCUGAAUGGGAGGCAACCCAUUUAUUUUUAUAAAAUGAAAAAUUUAAUAAUAAUAAAAAAUAAUAAAAAAUGAUUAAUUAAAAUUAAUAAAUUAUAUUUACUAAUAAGUAAUGGUAAUUUUUCGUAUUUCUUAAUAUUAGCAUUAUUUAGAAAAUUUAGUACUUAGAAUCUGUCAAUAAAAAGGACAUCGAUCGACGCGGCAUUACUGCCAUCGAUCGAUGCGGGCAUAUCGACGGUUUUAACAUUAACUUCAAUCGAUAUCAACCCAUUUCCUCUUCCAAAAUCACAAACACAGCCGAAAACGAAAACACCCAUUUUCUCUCUCGAUUCUCGACGGAUUUUGUCCGUUCUUCGCCUAAAUCCACUCGAUUUUUCACUCUGUAACUGUUAAAUCCACUCCCGAAAUCAACAUUCAAGGUAUGCACUCGAAAUUUUCAAUUUUUCAAAAAAUUAGGGUUUUUGUUUUGGGUUGGAUUAGAACGCUUGAUUUAGGGCGAUUGAGAGAUGUUUUUGUAGUUCCUAUUGCUUACCUAGAGUUCGGUUUGUGAUUUCUAUGCAUUUAGAUUAGUAUAAACGCGAUUUGGAGUUGAGUGAUUUUGCAGGUUUCACGAUUCGACAUCGGUCGAUAUGAACUUGUUCGCAUCGACCGAUGCUCUCUUGUCGGAUUGUUCCGACACGACGAUAUCGAUCGAUGUUCAAUAGAACCCAUCGAUCGAUAUUACAUUAUAUGCGACAAUGCUAACCUUCUUUUCUUCUUGGUUUCAGAUGAGCAGCUCAGAGACAAACGCAAGAAACAGAGAACUCAGGUCGAAAACGAGGUUCGACGAGACUAGCAGCUCCUCCAACCCACAGCGUCAUCCAUGGCCUCGCCCCGAAAACACACCAUUCGAUGUUCCGGGCUAUGCUGAUCCUAAGGCAGCGAUCAACAGCAACGAGUGCCGUCAGCGUCCUCUGUCCGAUGACUGGGACGACUACGACAGCCUCUUCUACAAUGCCUGGCUAGGAAUCUUUAUCGAGCCCACCAAGUUCCUUGACCGACCCAUCCUGAAGAAACUCGGGAUCGAGGGGGAUGUUAAGGACAUGAUCCCGCAGCUUGGACUCGGUACCAUGCCCUCUCGCGCUUACGACCUCUACCCCGAUCUCGUCCGCCAGUUCAUGGCCACUGUCGAGGGCAUCUACAGGACUUCAGCUGCGAGAGUAGCGGGAGAUGGCACCUUGACCUUCUUCGCCAGAGGGACACGCUACAGGAUCAGUAUCUCCGAGCUCUACCGUAUCUACGCUUUCAAUGAGAGCAUCGCCUCUCACACGGUCCCACCUUUCUCACACAUUGAGGAAUUCUGGAAAUCGUCGGCACAGGAGUUUGGGACACGAACAAGGCCGUGCUAUCAGACAUCCGCCAUCCUGCACUUUGCUACUUCCUACGGCUCCUUGCAAACACACUUGUUUGCAAGAUGGAGCCCAACAAGGUCAGGAUAAAGGAGCUCACAUUACUUUUCUGCACAGUGAACGGUGUGGUGGAUUUGGUUGAGUUGGACAAGGAUGGCGAGGUAAGCCCGCCAAACCUCGGAGCCGUCUUUGCCGCACAUUUGAUGGAGCUGAAGAAGAAGCCCUUCACCAGCAAGGGCAAGAACAAGAAGGAGACAAUUGGGAGUCUUCUGACCCCGAUCUUCCAGUAUCUCGGCAUCCACCUCGACUCUCGCUCUGCCCACUGCGACCACGCCUUCCUCGACGAGCAGCACUUGAUGCACUCGCUAUGGCUCGAGGAAGGGAAGCUCUGGCGCCUCAGGAUCCGCGACGAGCAUCGCCUUCUACCCCUACCAGAUAGGAGGAUCACUGACUUCGGCAACGACGUGGAGCAGCUUCGAUGCAUUCCAGACGAGGCAUUCCUCUGCAACCCGCGGAACAUGUCACGCCGACCUCCCAGCAUUCGCUGUACCAGAGCUCGAGACACACAGGCACCUCCUCUCCCCGACUUCCCGAACAUCCCAGACAUCCCUAUGCAGGACCAGGGAGACUUUCAGAGGUUCGUGGUGGACGCUCUUCAGGCCAUCUGGGCUAGAGUGUCUUGUCGGAGCAGGAGAGCCACAGGAGCGCAGGCACCAGCACCAGCAGCUCGCAGGGACCCACCCCCAGAGGACGGUGAGGCGACUGACGAGGACACCGACUAGUCCUCCCAUUUCUAUCCUUCCUCCUUUUAUUAUGAACUUAUUUAUUUCUUUUCCGAACAUGUAGGAUUUAUGUUUUUAAACUUAUAUUUUAUGUUUGAGGAUGCUUAUUAUUUCUUAUGCUUGAUUGUCUAAACAGAGCUAACAUUAGGCAAGGAACAUCGAGUUUGACUCCAAGCACAUGCGAACAUAUCUGUGCUUCGCCAUCGAUCGAUAUGGAGAGGAUUACAUCGAUCGAUUCUAAGCGAGUAACAUCAAUCGAUAUGGAGAGGAGUACAUCGAUCGAUGUGUAGUACGGAUAGGUACUUCAUUUUUACUCUAACAUUCUCAAAACAUCUGACUUGAUUUUAUCCUACCCUUGGACACUUUGCACCGAGUCGGCGCAAUUUAAGUCUGGGGGAGGUAGUUACUAACACCAUUUUCUCAAGUUUAUGUCAAAAAUCUUAAAAAAAAAAAAAAAAAUUAUUUUAUUGAGUCAAGAAGGGGAUUAUGAGCUAAUGAUUUCUACUUGAAUGUCUAACCACUUUCUAGCACAAUUCUAGAUUUACUGACUGCAGAUAAUACUAUAGAUGCUAAAGUGGAUCAACCAGUCAACUAUGCACACUUGCUAACUUGUUAGAAAGUACCAAAGCUAACCUCCAACACUAACCUGACUUCACUGCUUGUUUUGGGGCUUGGUAUACAUGGGAUCGGAUAUUUCAGACAAGUCUGGAAGGUAACGCCUGGUUUAGAUUAUUUAUCACAUUUUCUCUCUCU